rnacentral:rRNA from 1 species
CUUUUACAAUGAAGAGUUUGAUCCUGGCUCAGGAUGAACGCUAGCUACAGGCUUAACACAUGCAAGUCGAGGGGCAGCAUUUCAGUUUGCUUGCAAACUGGAGAUGGCGACCGGCGCACGGGUGAGUAACACGUAUCCAACCUGCCGAUAACUCGGGGAUAGCCUUUCGAAAGAAAGAUUAAUACCCGAUGGUAUAAUCAGACCGCAUGGUCUUAUUAUUAAAGAAUUUCGGUUAUCGAUGGGGAUGCGUUCCAUUAGGCAGUUGGUGAGGUAACGGCUCACCAAACCUUCGAUGGAUAGGGGUUCUGAGAGGAAGGUCCCCCACAUUGGAACUGAGACACGGUCCAAACUCCUACGGGAGGCAGCAGUGAGGAAUAUUGGUCAAUGGGCGCAGGCCUGAACCAGCCAAGUAGCGUGAAGGAUGACUGCCCUAUGGGUUGUAAACUUCUUUUAUAUGGGAAUAAAGUUUUCCACGUGUGGAAUUUUGUAUGUACCAUAUGAAUAAGGAUCGGCUAACUCCGUGCCAGCAGCCGCGGUAAUACGGAGGAUCCGAGCGUUAUCCGGAUUUAUUGGGUUUAAAGGGAGCGUAGGUGGACAGUUAAGUCAGUUGUGAAAGUUUGCGGCUCAACCGUAAAAUUGCAGUUGAUACUGGCUGUCUUGAGUACAGUAGAGGUGGGCGGAAUUCGUGGUGUAGCGGUGAAAUGCUUAGAUAUCACGAAGAACUCCGAUUGCGAAGGCAGCUCACUGGACUGCAACUGACACUGAUGCUCGAAAGUGUGGGUAUCAAACAGGAUUAGAUACCCUGGUAGUCCACACAGUAAACGAUGAAUACUCGCUGUUUGCGAUAUACAGUAAGCGGCCAAGCGAAAGCAUUAAGUAUUCCACCUGGGGAGUACGCCGGCAACGGUGAAACUCAAAGGAAUUGACGGGGGCCCGCACAAGCGGAGGAACAUGUGGUUUAAUUCGAUGAUACGCGAGGAACCUUACCCGGGCUUAAAUUGCAUUUGAAUAAUCUGGAAACAGGUUAGCCGCAAGGCAAAUGUGAAGGUGCUGCAUGGUUGUCGUCAGCUCGUGCCGUGAGGUGUCGGCUUAAGUGCCAUAACGAGCGCAACCCUUAUCUUUAGUUACUAACAGGUCAUGCUGAGGACUCUAGAGAGACUGCCGUCGUAAGAUGUGAGGAAGGUGGGGAUGACGUCAAAUCAGCACGGCCCUUACGUCCGGGGCUACACACGUGUUACAAUGGGGGGUACAGAAGGCAGCUACCUGGUGACAGGAUGCUAAUCCCAAAAGCCUCUCUCAGUUCGGAUCGAAGUCUGCAACCCGACUUCGUGAAGCUGGAUUCGCUAGUAAUCGCGCAUCAGCCAUGGCGCGGUGAAUACGUUCCCGGGCCUUGUACACACCGCCCGUCAAGCCAUGAAAGCCGGGGGUACCUGAAGUACGUAACCGCAAGGAGCGUCCUAGGGUAAAACUGGUAAUUGGGGCUAAGUCGUAACAAGGUAGCCGUACCGGAAGGUGCGGCUGGAACACCUCCUUU